GACGAACGCUGGCGGCGUGCUUAACACAUGCAAGUCGAACGGAAAGGCCCUGCUUUUGUGGGGUGCUCGAGUGGCGAACGGGUGAGUAACACGUGAGUAACCUGCCCUUGACUUUGGGAUAACUUCAGGAAACUGGGGCUAAUACCGGAUAGGAGCUCCUGCUGCAUGGGGGGGGUUGGAAAGUUUCGGCGGUUGGGGAUGGACUCGCGGCUUAUCAGCUUGUUGGUGGGGUAGUGGCUUACCAAGGCUUUGACGGGUAGCCGGCCUGAGAGGGUGACCGGCCCCAUUGGGCCUGUGAUACGGCCCAGACUCCUUCGGGAGGCAGGAGUGGGGAAUAUUGCACAAUGGGCGGAAGCCUGAUGCAGCAACGCCGCGUGCGGGAUGACGGCUUUCGGGUUGUAAACCGCUUUCGCCUGUGACGAAGCGUGAGUGACGGUAAUGGGUAAAGAAGCACCGGCUACCUACGU
rnacentral:rRNA from 1 species